rnacentral:rRNA from 1 species
UUCUUUAAAUGGGGACUUGUAUCAACGGCAUCACGAGGGUUUUACUGUCUCCUUUUUCUAAUCAGCGAAACUAAUCUCCCCGUGAAGAAGCGGGGAUAUUUAUAUAAGACGAGAAGACCCCAUGGAGCUUCAAACCCAAUUACACCCCCCCCCCCCCCC